rnacentral:piRNA from 1 species
UCUUGAUGUGAUAUUCAAACA